rnacentral:rRNA from 1 species
UACAGAGGUCUCAAGCGUUGUUCGGAUUCAUUGGGCGUAAAGGGUGCGUAGGUGGCGCUGUAAGGCGGGUGUGAAAUUUCGGAGCUUAACUCCGAAACUGCAUUCGAUACUGCGGUGCUUGAGGACUGGAGAGGAGACUGGAAUUCAUGGUGUAGCAGUGAAAUGCGUAGAGAUCAUGAGGAAGACCAGUGGCGAAGGCGGGUCUCUGGACAGUUCCUGACACUGAGGCACGAAGGCCAGGGGAGCAAACGGG